UACGAAGGGGGCUAGCGUUGUUCGGAAUUACUGGGCGUAAAGCGCGCGUAGGCGGAUACUUAAGUCAGGGGUGAAAUCCCGGGGCUCAACCCCGGAACUGCCUUUGAUACUGGGUAUCUCGAGUCCGGAAGAGGUGAGUGGAAUUCCGAGUGUAGAGGUGAAAUUCGUAGAUAUUCGGAGGAACACCAGUGGCGAAGGCGGCUCACUGGUCCGGUACUGACGCUGAGGUGCGAAAGCGUGGGGAGCAAACAGG
rnacentral:rRNA from 1 species